CAAUAGCGUAUAUUUAAGUUGUUGCAGUUAAAAAGCUCGUAGUUGGAUUUCGGUUGAGAACGGCCGGUCCGCCGUUUGGUGUGCACUGGCUGGUUUCAACUUCCUGUAGAGGACGUGCUCUGGCUUCACGACUGGACGCGGAGUCUACGUGGUUACUUUGAAAAAAUUAGAGUGUUCAAAGCGGGCUUACGCUUGAAUAUUUCAGCAUGGAAUAACACUAUAGGACUCCUGUCCUAUUUCGUUGGUCUCGGGACGGGAGUAAUGAUUAAGAGGAACAGUUGGGGGCAUUCGUAUUUCAUUGUCAGAGGUGAAAUUCUUGGAUUUAUGAAAGACGAACUUCUGCGAAAGCAUUUGCCAAGGAUGUUUUCAUUAA
rnacentral:rRNA from 1 species